rnacentral:lncRNA from 1 species
UAAUUUCCUAUCACGUGCAUGUGAUAGACUUACAUAACUCUUCCCGUUUCUAGCCUCUAAGAAUUAACAUGUCCCAAAGUUCUGCAAAGCACCCUGAGGCCAAGAACAACCCUGCACUCUAUUUUUGUGCUGUUCAGAAACAGCCUUGCUGAUCAGACAAGCUGUGCACACCUUGUUCAACACGUGACCAAACGCCCAAACUCAUAGCAGGCAGAGAUCAACUUGGGAUCAUUUAAGGACCAGCCUGAAGGCACAUUUUAAGAGUGGUCUUGGAACCUGAAACCAGAAGAAACCAGUCAUGUUGGAAUCUUCAUCUCUCAUUC